CUUGAAGUAGUAGGACUCUAUUUCGAAGUGUGUGUGUAUUGCAACAAAUGAAAAUCAACACUUCACCAAACAGCUCUGCUUGACUCAAGACUUCGACGAACCGCGAAUCUGUCCGGAAACCUCAGAUUAUGACCUUCGAGGAACUCGGAACUUGCCUAAAAACUCGAAUUAAACCAAAACUCACCGGAAAAUAACUGUGGUUAUACUUGAAGCUGGUUUGGAGCUGCGUUUCCCUGGUGUUUGAUGGUGGAUUUGCACGAGAAGGUGUGGCUUGCCGGGUUUUAAAUAUGAAAUGGAUAUGGUUUUCCCAAAUGGAAAAAGCAAGAGAAGCUCUUAAAUUAACAUGGUAAAUCUAGAAGAUGAGCUCAAAUUCAUAAGCUUUGUUUGUUUUCCUACCCAUGUUCUCUCGUGUCCCCCUCUUCAUAUAUAUCCCUCCCUCUAUUUUUGUGUGUUUGGAAUUGGGGAAAACUAGACCUUGAAGGUCUUUGAUUUGGGGGAAGUUGGGAGACGGCAAUAGGCUUUAAUUAUGCUAAAGGGUCUGUUGUUCUUGUUCUUUCAAAGUGAAAUAUCAGAUCCUCGAAUUUUUGGGGUCUGCGGUUGAUUGCCCUUCUUUAUGUGCUUUAG
rnacentral:lncRNA from 1 species